rnacentral:rRNA from 1 species
ACUCAAAGGAAUUGACGGGGGCCCGCACAAGCGGCGGAGCAUGUGGCUUAAUUCGAUGCAACGCGAAGAACCUUACCAAGGCUUGACAUGUGGGGAAAUCCCGUAGAGAUACGGGGUCCGUUAGGGCCCUGCACAGGUGGUGCAUGGCUGUCGUCAGCUCGUGUCGUGAGAUGUUGGGUUAAGUCCCGCAACGAGCGCAACCCUCGUCCUAUGUUGCCAGCGGUUCGGCCGGGGACUCAUAGGAGACUGCCGGGGUCAACUCGGAGGAAGGUGGGGAUGACGUCAAGUCAUCAUGCCCCUUACGUCUUGGGCUGCACACAUGCUACAAUGGCCGGUACAAUGGGCUGCGAUGCCGUGAGGUGGAGCGAAUCCCAAAAAGCCGGUCUCAGUUCGGAUCGGGGUCUGCAACUCGACCCCGUGAAGCCGGAGUCGCUAGUAAUCGCAGAUCAGCAAUGCUGCGGUGAAUACGUUCCCGGGCCUUGUACACACCGCCCGU